UCUCAUGAAAAUAAAAGAUAAAUAUAAAGCAAACUAAGGUCCAUCCUUGGCGCCAUAAAGUCGACUGGGAGACGCCACCUAGAUCAAGUCGAACUCCUCGUUGUGCGGCUCCUCCUGGGCCACCUGUUCUUCUCCUGUGGGGGGGGGGUUUAUAUCGCAAGUGUGAGCUCACAAAUGAUCAUAGAUCAACAAGUCGUGGGUAAUAAUGUGCAUGAACUCACCAAAGGUGGGAGCUCAUGUGAUGUGUAAGGCUGAUCAACAAUAGGGGUUAAAGCUGAGCAUUGCUUUUAAUAAGUUGGUCAAAUUUUAUUAGCAAUUACUAGAUGUAAGUAAAUACCAAACCAUAAUAGAAAUAAUAGAACAAAAUUAAUAAUAAAUCUCAUGCAAUGCAAAUGACAAAUUGAAUUUAGUUUCAUAGUUUAAUCAUGCGAGAGUCCUGAGCUGCUCAUGAUCACGAGCACGGCUAGUAUACCAGUUUUACACUCUGCAGAGGUUGUACCCUGUACCCACAAGUCAUGUCACCCAUCUGCCAAGGGAUUGCGACUCCCAUACACCUCUACCAAGGAAGCGAGGCAGGGUAACACUACGAGGCCUUUACAAAGUUCCACUAGCUUUAGAAAACUCGCUACAGUUUCUAAGAAGAGCAAUGCAGGAAUCCCCCGUUUGACCGCCAUCGCAGUAAAAUCAACCAGGAAACCUCCCUACACGCCUACUCCCCUACUACCCUUGCCCCUCUCGGGUAAGGUAGUCCUCCACUAGCUUUCGUAGUUAGUCAGCAAGGGCGUCCCAUUCCAUCCUUGUGGUGGCACGUGUUUCUCAAGUUAAGCUCCAUGUUCCAAUUAAAAAUAAUGAUCUUGACAUGAACAAUAAAUAAAAUUACAGUAUAAUUGGAACAUGUGCAUAAUGUAAUAUUAAACCUAAACCAUAUAGAGAAAUAGCAUAACUAUCCAAAUGAUUCAGGGGUAAACAAGGUAAAAAGAUAAGCAGACUAGGGUGACCUAUUGGGUCCCAUCAAAAUUAAACCUAUGCAUGAAUAAGUGACAAUAAAGAACAUUAUUGGGUAAUGAAAGUGGUCAAGGGCAUAACUUGCCUUCAAUGAGCUCCUACUCAGCAACUUCUACCUGCUGAACACCCGGAUCCUCAGCCACUAGCUCUUCUACUCGCCACAAUACAAACAAGCAUAGUACAAAGAGGAAAUUAACAUCACACCAAACAUGUAUACAAAAUACAUAUUAAUAAUCUACAUAUUAAAAUGAGAUCAUAGAAAAAAAAAUCAUUAAAUUUGGAGUUAUGGAUUUUAAGUUAUGAAUUUCUAAAGGUUUUAUAUGUUUGGUACAAGAUUAAUUAAGAGAUCAAUUUUAAUACAAUUUUCAUGUUAAAACAGUGUCACAAUGUCAUAGUCCAUAUUAAUACAAAAUUAUAGGAACUGGAAUGAACCAAUUUGGACUUAGUAUGAAUUUUCUAGGAAUUAAAUAAGUUUCUGCAAUUAUUUCUAUAUUCACAAAUCAAUUUAUAAAUAAUUUCUCUGAUUUACCUAGUCACUAGAAUGCGCGCGUGAAUAAAAAAACCCAGGGGCUAGCGUGUAAAGUACCCAAGACUCAGUCCACACCCAGGUGGACUGCGGGUUGAAACCUAAAUACCUCGGGGGCUCUUAUUCAAAAUUUCCAGACCGAGCGCUUAUGGGUUCUCCACACCGUCCUAUCAAAGUCACACGACGCAGAUUAGAUCACAUUAUAAACGAAGCGGUACGCGUCUCACAGCAGUUGGAUUAUGGAUCAGCGGCGCCGAUUUUAUAACUGAAGGGUGACAUUCUGAUCUAAUCUCAUCCCUCGAUCCUACGAUCUACGGACUAAUAUGGUCCAACCGAAUCGGUACGCAGUGUGUAAUCACCGCCGUCCAUUCUUAGAUCGAUGGCCACCGCACUGUCGUCUCCCUCCUGCCGGUAUGCAUACGCGCCGCCCCCAACACUCACCGACGUUCCGCCGCGGCAAGCGAUUCCACGACCCGGCCCUCUACUUCGACCCCCGAUUUAUGAAAACUACUGCGGAUAUGGUGAGGAAGGUACUAGGCUAGGACGUACCGGUUAAUUUGGUGCCCAAAACAGCCGGCCACGGCCGACCACAAAUCCGCCGCGUGAAUUACUCCGGCGACGAAUUAACUGUAUUCUGAAGACCGACACUCAUGGCGGCUAGACUACUGAAGACCCGCGUGCUUCCGCGAACCCCAAUUGUGACUUCCCCGAACCAGGACGGCGGCGUUCCGAGGAAAUGACGCGGCAGCUACCCUCUUUCUCUCUCUCUCUCUCUCUCUUCGCUGUCUCUCUACUGAUGCGGAUAGCAGUGACCUAGGGGUCUCAUGGGUCUAGGAUUUAGAUGCGCAGGGUC
rnacentral:lncRNA from 1 species